GAGAGUGAGGAUGGGAGAGAGAGGUAACAAAAGUGAAAACAAAAACUUGAAAGUAAAAACAAUUUCAAAUAGAUUUCACUUUUUAGUUUUUAUUUUCACUUUUGUCGUUCUUCCCUCCUAUCCUUCCAUCUC
rnacentral:miRNA from 1 species